rnacentral:rRNA from 1 species
UACGUAGGGUGCAAGCGUUGUCCGGAAUUAUUGGGCGUAAAGAGCUCGUAGGCGGUCUGUCGCGUCGGCUGUGAAAACUUGGGGCUCAACCCCAAGCCUGCAGUCGAUACGGGCAGACUAGAGUCCGGCAGGGGAGACUGGAAUUCCUGGUGUAGCGGUGAAAUGCGCAGAUAUCAGGAGGAACACCGGUGGCGAAGGCGGGUCUCUGGGCCGGAACUGACGCUGAGGAGCGAAAGCGUGGGGAGCGAACAGG